rnacentral:lncRNA from 1 species
GUAAGACUUGAAACUUUUACCCUAUUCAUUUCUUUAAUUCUUUAUUUAGAUUUAUAUAUCAUAUGUUUGAUGGAUCUUUUAUGUAAGAAUUUUCUUAUGUUUGAGUGUCAAUUAAGCACUGCAUAUGGUAAACUACAAGAAUUUACUAGAAGAAGCACCUUAUUCAUCAGAAUUCCCAUUAUAGGUAAUGACAUUAUUUAAGAAAAAUUGGGAAUUAUUCAAUAAGCAUACUCGGAAUAUGUCAUUUACGACCGGGGCGAUGAAGAUUUCGAAUAAUUUGUCAAUUUAUAAACAGUAAAAACACUUUCGGG